rnacentral:rRNA from 1 species
AUUGAACGCUGGCGGCAUGCUUUACACAUGCAAGUCGAACGGUAACAGGUUAAGCUGACGAGUGGCGUACGGGUGAGUAAUGCAUCGGACCGUGCCCGAUCGUGGGGGAUAACGCAGCGAACGCUACGCUAAUACCGCAUACGAUCUGAGGAUGAAAGAGCGGGACCGUAAGGCCUCGCGCGAUCGGAGCGGCCGAUGUCAGAUUAGGUAGUUGGUGGGGUAAAGGCUCACCAAGACAACGAUGUGUAACUGGUCUGAGAGGACGACCAACCACACUGGGACUGAGACACGGCACAGACUCCGACGGGAGGCAGCAGUGGGGAAUUUUGGACAAUGGGCGAAAGCCUGAUCCAGCAAUGCCGCGUGCAGGAAGAAGGCCUUCGGGUUGUAAACUGCUUUUGUACGCAGCGAAAAAGCUCUCUCUAAUACGGGGGGCUCAUGACAGUACCGUAAGAAUAAGCACCGGCUAACUACGUGCCAGCCGCCGCCGUAACAC